rnacentral:rRNA from 1 species
GGUGACUGAGGGCCGGAGGCGGGGUGAAUACGUAGGGGUCAAGCGUUAAUCGGAAUUACGGGGCGGAAGGCGUGGGCAGGCGGUGGUGCAAGACCGAUGUGAAAUCCCCGAGCUUAACUUGGGAAUUGCAUUGGUGACUGCACGGCUAGAGUGUGUCAGAGGGGGGUAGAAUUCCACGUGUAGCAGUGAAAUGCGUAGAGAUGUGGAGGAAUACCGAUGGCGAAGGCAGCCCCCUGGGAUAACACUGACGCUCAUGCACGAAAGCGUGGGGAGCAAACAGGAUUAGAUACCCUGGUAGUC